UCUCUCUCUCUCUCUCUCUCUCUCUCUCUCUCUCUCUCUCUCUCUCUCAAGUCUCAACUGCUUUGUCUCAGAUCAAAUCCAGUAUCUGAAUUGUGAAUUCGAAUAGUUGAAGUUGUCGAGAUAUUCGAACAUUGGUCACUUCAUCCCUACUCCCUUCAUUUUUCUUCUCCAAACGAUUUCUAACUCUCCGAUCCUUUCCGUUCUUGGCAAACUCUCUCCCCUCUCUCACGCCCUUCAUUUCCCGUGAUCUUUAGGUGCUGCAAAUUUGGAAAGCUUUCAGAUUGCGGUUUCGUCUUCCACUCCACAUGCUGAUCUCAGUGAUUUUGGGUGCUUUGUUCAUAAGUCAAGGGAACGGGUGGCACUUGAAGCCAUCAUUGGAGACAUCAUCGUACGAAGAUUUAAAUUUCUCUCUAUCUUUCACUGCUGUGAUUUUCUUUUGGAGAAUUGGGUGGUGUCAUCUUCAAGUUCACGUUGGGAAUUAAUUCCACAUUUGAGCAGCAUUGUGUCAUCCUCUAUUUUUGACACUCAUGGCACGAAACUAGGUGGUAGAUCUUUUUCAUGUCUAUGUUGGAUUUGAAAUAGCAAUUGUUACAUUUGCGAUUUGGAGUCAUAUAGUUGUCCGAAGGCUUUGGGUGGUUUCUUUGAGAUAGGGGCUGCUGUGAUCGGUUUGAGAUUUCCUGGUCCUCAGAAGAUCAUUGUCAGCAGGAAGUGGCACGUUGGCAUAUUCAUCAUCUGUUUUGAACUUCCAUUAUUAAAGUACCCUUAUAGCUCCACUAGUUUAUUUUUCCACUUGAGGAAUUGGGUUUGAAUACUACUGAGGUUAAAUAUAAUGCGUUUUAUAGGAUUGCUUAAUUUUUAUUUUUGGUAACUCCACUUUUUUUUAAUUGCGAGAGGUUUGUUCCUAGGUGCUGUUAAUUUGUUAUAUCUACAUGUCAUGUCUUCUUUUCACGUGGGAUUAUUUUCAAUAAGUAAUGAUAGGUACAAGUUUAAAUUU